rnacentral:misc_RNA from 1 species
GAUGAAGAACGUAGCGAAAUGCGAUAACUAAUGUGAAUUGCAGAAUUCCGUGAAUCAUCGAGUCUUUGAACGCACAUUGCGCCCGCCAGUAUUCUGGCGGGCAUGCCUGUCUGAGCGUCAUUUCAACCCUCAUGCCCCUAGGGCGUGGUGUUGGGGAUCGGCCAAAGCCCGCGAGGGACGGCCGGCCCCUAAAUCUAGUGGCGGACCCGUCGUGGCCUCCUCUGCGAAGUAGUGAUAUUCCGCAUCGGAGAGCGACGAGCCCCUGCCGUUAAACCCCCAACUUUCCAAGGUUGACCUCAGAUCAGGUAGGAAUACCCGCUGAACUUAAGCAUAUCAAUAAGCGGAGGA